GAUGAACGCUGGCGGCGUGCUUAACACAUGCAAGUCGAACGGAACUACUCCAAUGAGAGUCUUCGGAAAGGAUUUGGUUUAGUUUAGUGGCGGACGGGUGAGUAACGCGUGGGUAACCUGCCCUAUACAGGGGGAUAACAGUUGGAAACGACUGUUAAUACCGCAUAAGCGCACAGGAGCGCAUGCUCCAGUGUGAAAAACUCCGGUGGUAUAGGAUGGACCCGCGUCUGAUUAGCUGGUUGGCGGGGUAACGGCCCACCAAGGCGACGAUCAGUAGCCGGCCUGAGAGGGUGAACGGCCACAUUGGGACUGAGACACGGCCCAAACUCCUACGGGAGGCAGCAGUGGGGAAUAUUGCACAAUGGGGGAAACCCUGAUGCAGCGACGCCGCGUGAGCGAAGAAGUAUCUCGGUAUGUAAAGCUCUAUCAGCAGGGAAGAAAAUGACGGUACCUGACUAAGAAGCCCCGGCUAACUACGUG
rnacentral:rRNA from 1 species